rnacentral:rRNA from 1 species
AUUGAACGCUGGCGGCAGGCUUAACACAUGCAAGUCGAGCGAGCGGCGGACGGGUGAGUAAUGUCUGGGCAACUGCCUGAUGGAGGGGGAUAACUACUGGAAACGGUAGAUAAUACCUCAUACCAUUAGAUGGGCACAGAUGGGAUUAGCUAGUAGGUGGGGUAAUGGCGCACCUGGGCGACAAGCCCUGGCUGGGCUGGGAGGAUGACCAGCAACACUGGAACUGAGACACGGUCCAGACGCCUACGGGAGGCAGCAGUGGGGAAUAUUGCACAAGGGGCGCAAGCCUGAUGCAGCCAUGCCGCGUGUGUGAAGAAGGCCUUCGGGUUGUAAAGCACUUUCAGCGAGGAGGCGUUAGUCGCAGAAGAAGCACCGGCUAACUCCGUGCCAGCAGCCGCGGUAAUUC